rnacentral:rRNA from 1 species
GUGGGGAAUAUUGGACAAUGGGCGAAAGCCUGAUCCAGCCAUGCCGCGUGUGUGAAGAAGGCCUUUUGGUUGUAAAGCACUUUAAGCGAGGAGGAGGCUACCGAGAUUAAUACCCUUGGAUAGUGGACGUUACUCGCAGAAUAAGCACCGGCUAACUCUGUGCCAGCAGCCGCGGUAAUACAGAGGGUGCGAGCGUUAAUCGGAUUUACUGGGCGUAAAGCGUGCGUAGGCGGCUUUUUAAGUCGGAUGUGAAAUCCCUGAGCUUAACUUAGGAAUUGCAUUCGAUACUGGGAAGCUAGAGUAUGGGAGAGGAUGGUAGAAUUCCAGGUGUAGCGGUGAAAUGCGUAGAGAUCUGGAGGAAUACCGAUGGCGAAGGCAGCCAUCUGGCCUAAUACUGACGCUGAGGUACGAAAGCAUGGGGAGCAAACAGGAUUAGAAACCCUGGUAGUCC